CGGGGGCGCAAAUAGGGUCAGUGGGCCGCUUGGCGGUGUCGUUGCGGUACCAGGUCCGCGUGAGGGGUUCGGGGGUUCUGGGCAGGCACAAUGGCGUCUCGAGCAGGCCCGCGAGCGGCCGGCACCGACGGCAGCGACUUUCAGCACCGGGAGCGCGUCGCCAUGCACUACCAGAUGAGGCUGUUUUAUUCAAAUUUGUAUCCCAGUGUCCAGUACAGUUGUCUGGCAUAUAGUUGGUGGUAAGAAAAAUUUGAAAGAUACUUCUCCCUCUGCUCUGCCCCACAGUGUGACUCUCAAGUAUGAAAUCAAGAAGCUGAUCUACGUACAUCUGGUCAUAUGGCU
rnacentral:lncRNA from 10 species